UCCGGGUUUUCCUGGAGACCCGGUUCCCGGGAGGGUCGGGAGACGGUGCUCCUGCGGUCCUCUCCUCCGCGGGGAGUCGCACAGUGUGCGAUUCUGGAGGGAGCCGCGCCCCAAAAAGCUCCUAAGGAGGGCAGGGACCGAAGGCCAGAAGGAGCAGAACAACUUCGGAGUUUUCAUUUUACUCACCGUGCUUUUUUUUUUCUUGCUCCCCUUCCCCAAAACAACUUUCUCUUCCGGGGUCAGGAAGUACCGCCCCGCCGCGUACCUUGAGCGCGGGGUAACGAAGGAGUCGGUUCUGGCUUUCCGACACCCCCUCCUCCUAAUCCCCGUUUGUGCCCUGUGUCUGCGCACACUCGCUGGCAGGCCCUACGACCUGAGAGCAUCUUUGGUGAGCAGGACUUAACUGAGAUGUACGUGUCACCAACUUCCUGGUGCCAACAAAAGCAUGGAUGUCCGUCUUCAAAAAUCUUCUAAAAGAUGCUCCGAGAAGAAAGGAGAUGGCAAAGGUGCGCUUCAGCAUUAGCUCCACCUUAGCCAGAUGUGCUUUGGGGGCUAACCUGGGCUGAGAGUCAAUGAUACAAACUAACCAAACUCACUCCACAUGAACAGAUGAUGACUCCGUUUUAGGCCAAAUACAAUAGCUAAUAGACUGUUUUAAGAGUCUUCUCUGACUCCCCACCCAGCAAAGGAAGCCUUAUGCUCCCUCAGCUCAAAUCUGGAGUCAGCAACAUCACAAUAUGCAGAAGAUUGAAAAUUGAGCUUGCUUAGUAACCAAGGCAGAGUUUGCUCUGAAACUUUUUUUCAUUGUCUCUUCAGUAUUUUUAACUGCACAGGGCACUUGCCCAGGGGGAGAGGGGGAGAGAUACAUAAAGGUUUCGUCUCUAUCAGGAGGAUCUCUUGUCUUGAUUGAUGAAGGAGGAAAUUUGACCUGUUUUUACCUCAGGAUUAUCACCUAGGCUUGAUGGUUACAGCCAGUACCUAAUUCCUGCCACUAUGCUGACUUCACUUUUUAACCUGACUUGGUGCCUGCAUUCUUGAGUCGGACUUUGAGCCUCCACUCCUCCUUCAUUCUUGCAUUCCAGAAGUGUGUAUAAAGCCCAUGUCCUGCCACCUCCCAUGAAAAACUCUGAUUCCUGAUUGAGACAUCCAAGAAGAUACGUCACUAACUUUGUGGGUUUUCCAACUGCUUUUUUUUUUUAAGUUAUAGAAAGCUGAGCUACUCAGUUUAAUGUUGUUGUAUUUUGUUUUGUUUUGUUUUUCAGAAAUACUCACACUAGGUUGUUUUAAUAAAUGAUUAGUAUGUUUUU
ensembl:processed_transcript Gm19569 predicted gene, 19569